rnacentral:rRNA from 1 species
AACGAACGCUGGCGGCAUGCCUAACACAUGCAAGUCGAACGAGACCUUCGGGUCUAGUGGCGCACGGGUGCGUAACGCGAGGGAACCUUCCCUUAUGUUCGGCAUAACUCCCCGAAAGGGGUGCUAAUACCGGAUAAUGUCUUCUAACCCAAGAUUUAUCGCCUUUGGUUGGGCCCGCGUGGGAUUAGCUAGUUGGUAGGGUAAAAGCCUACCAAGGCGACGAUCCCUAGCUGGUCUGAGAGGAUGAUCAGCCACACUGGGACUGAGACACGGCCCAGACUCCUACGGGAGGCAGCAGUGGGGAAUAUGGGACAAUGGGCGAAAGCCUGAUCCAGCAAUGCCGCGUGAGUGAUGAAGGCCUUAGGGUUGUAAAGCUCUGUUACCCGGGAUGAUAAUGACAGUACCGGGAGAAUAAGCGCCGGCUAACUACGUG